AAUCCAUGCAUCGAACAUUUCCAAAUUAACUCCUUAAAUCAUUCCCAAGCUUCAUAUAAUGUCUCGUACUCUAUCUGCCAAAAAGAUAUGAUGUCAUUUCUAAGCUU
rfam:Gossypium arboreum cultivar AKA8401 contig_36956_3, whole genome shotgun sequence.